CAAGUAUUCCAGAUCAUGAGAUUGAGGCCUGCAGGCAUAGCAGAUCGGCACGGCGUGGGCAGAUCUACGCGAGGUGGCGAAGGGGCUGCUGCGAGCCUGCCCUGCGGGCAGCGGAUCCGGCCACCAGCACGCAUGGUCUGAGAGGCAAGAAGCGGCACAUGGGGGAGGCGGCAUACCGUGCAUCAGAGAGAAGAGGCAGCGCAGGGGAGGCGGAUCCACACUGCAUUCCUUGAAAUUGGUGGCUCUGACUAACCCGAGGUAAAAGCCUACCCAUCCCAGCCUGUGCGGCUGUGCGUGAUUUAAGUUGCAUGUGUUUGAAUUGUUGCUGGUAAAAUCCCUGAGUGUCCGCCGAUUUGUACCAGUCUGGAGGUGAAUCGCUGUAGCGUAUGUAGUGUUGGUCCAUCAGGUCACAGAUCCUUGUGAAAACCCCAUAUAUUUUCUGAUUGUAGUGGAUUUCUAUGGAUUUAGAUCACUGGUGAAUUGCUGCUUGCUUUCCUGUCCUGAUGAUAUCCUUAUCUGUAAUGGCAUAUAGGCUGCAUUGGUUCCACAGGAUAUUUCUCAUCAUCAUUUGCUUGGCUAGUUAUGUAGAUUGUGAAAUCGCUGAACCUGGAUCUCUUGUAACCUUUAUUGUGGAUAUUUUUUGCUAAUAAACAGCUGAAAUCAGUGAUAGCCAUUUUCUUCCCCGCACU
rnacentral:lncRNA from 1 species